rnacentral:ncRNA from 2 species
AAGAUCAAUACUGGAGAGCACGAUGAGUCGUCGCCGAAGGAGCAAGCCGUCAAGGUGAAUCUCUCAGGUAAAAGAACAGUAUUGUGACG